UACGUAGGGUCCGAGCGUUGUCCGGAAUUAUUGGGCGUAAAGAGCUCGUAGGCGGUUUGUCGCGUCUGCUGUGAAAUCCCGAGGCUCAACCUCGGACCUGCAGUGGGUACGGGCAGACUGGAGUGCGGUAGGGGAGAAUGGAAUUCCUGGUGUAGCGGUGGAAUGCGCAGAUAUCAGGAGGAACACCGAUGGCGAAGGCAGUUCUCUGGGCCGUAACUGACGCUGAGGAGCGAAAGCGUGGGGAGCGAACAGG
rnacentral:rRNA from 1 species